rnacentral:rRNA from 1 species
UACAGAGGGUGCGAGCGUUGUCCGGAAUCACUGGGCGUAAAGCGCGCGUAGGUGGCCACAUAAGUCCGUUGUGAAAGUCAAAGGCUCAACCUUUGAAAGCCGAUGGAUACUGUGUGGCUAGAGUACGGAAGAGGCGAGUGGAAUUCCUGGUGUAGAGGUGAAAUUCGUAGAUAUUCGCAAGAACACCAGUGGCGAAGGCGGCUCACUGGCCCGAUACGUGACGCUGAGGCACGAAAGCGUGGGGAGCAAACAGG